CCUAAGGUAGCGAAAUUCCUUGUCGGGUAAGUUCCGACCUGCACGAAUGGCGUAAUGAUGGCCAGGCUGUCUCCACCCGAGACUCAGUGAAAUUGAACUCGCUGUGAAGAUGCAGUGUACCCGCGGCAAGACGGAAAGACCCCGUGAACCUUUACUAUAGCUUGACACUGAACACUGGUCCUUGAUGUGUAGGAUAGGUGGGAGGCUUUGAAGCGUGGACGCCAGUCUGCGUGGAGCCAUCCUUGAAAUACCACCCUUUAAUGGCUGGUGUUCUAACGUAGACCCGUAAUCCGGGUUGCGGACAGUGUCUGGUGGGUAGUUUGACUGGGGCGGUCUCCUCCCAAAGAGUAACGGAGGAGCACGAAGGUUAGCUAAUCCUGGUCGGACAUCAGGAGGUUAGUGCAAUGGCAUAAGCUAGCUUGACUGCGAGAGUGACGGCUCGAGCAGGUGCGAAAGCAGGUCAUAGUGAUCCGGUGGUUCUGAAUGGAAGGGCCAUCGCUCAACGGAUAAAAGGUACUCCGGGGAUAACAGGCUGAUACCGCCCAAGAGUUCAUAUCGACGGCGGUGUUUGGCACCUCGAUGUCGGCUCAUCACAUCCUGGGGCUGAAGUAGGUCCCAAGGGUAUGGCUGUUCGCCAUUUAAAGUGGUACGCGAGCUGGGUUUAGAACGUCGUGAGACAGUUCGGUCCCUAUCUGCCGUGGGCGCUGGAGAAUUGAGGGGGGCUGCUCCUAGUACGAGAGGACCGGAGUGGACGCAUCACUGGUGUUCGGGUUGUCAUGCCAAUGGCAUUGCCCGGUAGCUAAAUGCGGAAGAGAUAAGUGCUGAAAGCAUCUAAGCACGAAACUUGCCCCGAGAUGAGUUCUCCCUGACCCUUUAAGGGUCCUGAAGGAACGUUGAAGACUACGACGUUGAUAGGUCGGGUGUGUAAGCGCAGCGAUGCGUUGAGCUAACCGAUACUAAUGAACCGUGAGGCUUAACCUUACAACGCCGAAGCUGUU
rnacentral:rRNA from 1 species